UGCACUCCCUUGUUUUUCUUUCACAAAAAUUAACGUAUCCAAAUAUACUAACACCAAAUACCAACUUACUCAUCCACUUUUCAAGAAACCACUAUGCUUCUUUUUAUAAACUAACAUACAAAAAAAAAAAAAAAAGAAUUAUCAGUUUAAGACUAAGAAUUCUACAAAAAAUUUAAAGAAAGAGGAGACACUUUUUCAGGUUUUGGAAGAUGGAGAAAUUUAGGAAGGCAAAUGAAGAGGAAGAAGAAAGGAGAGGAAAAAUGGUACGGACUAGCAUGCGGGGAAGGGAAGCCAACUUGUACUUUUUUUUUGUUAUAAUAAUAUUUUUUAAACUAUAGUUACGUUGUAUUUAUACAACAAAGGGGCUCUCUUUUGUAGUUAUUUUUUCUUUUUAUUUUCGAGAUUGAGAGUACGUAUUUCCUUUAUUUUAUUCAUGCUAUCCUAUGAAAGAAGGUUUAGAUAACCUUUUGCUGAAUUGAAUGGUCCUUAAAAGGAAUUUAUUAAUCUCUUUGGUAAUGCAGUAAUGGUUCUAUUA